GGCGCCUAUUAUGGCGUUUUAUUUGGCCUUUUUCACCUACAGAUAAUAUGUCACUCCUCUCGUAUACAGCUAUUUUGUAUCAUUAGGGCUUGAAGUUCAUGAUGCUUAAAUCCCGAUGUAGUUAGGACAAUCCCUACAUCCCUCUAACUAGUGAUUACAUUCCUGACACACUGCUAAACCCCUUACUAGAACAGCUUUAUACAACUUUAU